UGGAAGUAAAAAAGUCGUAACAAGGUCUCCGUUGGUGAACCAGCGGAGGGAUCAUUACCGAGUUUACAACUCCCAAACCCAAUGUGAACGUUACCAAACUGUUGCCUCGGCGGGGUCACGCCCCGGGUGCGUCGCAGCCCCGGAACCAGGCGCCCGCCGGAGGAACCAACCAAACUCUUUCUGUAGUCCCCUCGCGGACGUAUUUCUUACAGCUCUGAGCAAAAAUUCAAAAUGAAUCAAAACUUUCAACAACGGAUCUCUUGGUUCUGGCAUCGAUGAAGAACGCAGCGAAAUGCGAUAAGUAAUGUGAAUUGCAGAAUUCAGUGAAUCAUCGAAUCUUUGAACGCACAUUGCGCCCGCCAGUAUUCUGGCGGGCAUGCCUGUCCGAGCGUCAUUUCAACCCUCGAACCCCUCCGGGGGAUCGGCGUUGGGGAUCGGGACCCCUCACACGGGUGCCGGCCCCUAAAUACAGUGGCGGUCUCGCCGCAGCCUCUCCUGCGCAGUAGUUUGCACAACUCGCACCGGGAGCGCGGCGCGUCCACGUCCGUAAAACACCCAACUUUCUGAAAUGUUGACCUCGGAUC
rnacentral:rRNA from 1 species